UACAGAGGGUGCGAGCGUUGUCCGGAAUCACUGGGCGUAAAGGGCGCGUAGGCGGCGCGGUAAGCGUGCGGUGAAAGCCCGGGGCUCAACCCCGGGUCGGCCGUGCGGACUGCCGGGCUGGAGCACUGUAGAGGCAGGUGGAAUUCCGGGGUGUAGCGGUGGAAUGCGUAGAGAUCCGGAAGAACACCGGUGGCGAAGGCGGCCUGCUGGGCAGUAGCUGACGCUGAAGCGCGACAGCGUGGGGAGCAAACAGG
rnacentral:rRNA from 1 species